GCCCAAUGAGGAGAACUAGGCACAUUUGAGCUCAUUGGCUGAGAGGCCGUGUUGUCCUGCUCUCUGAUUGGUGGGUAAUCUUGGUAGAGCAGCGAAGGUUUGCUACUCUACUGUAAGGGCCCACCUAAAGAAAACUAGCAGCCACCCAAAGUGGAAUACUCUCUCUUCGAGUCAUGAGUGGGAGACCAGGGAACUGCUUACAUUGUGUGUGUGUGUGUGUGUGUGUGUGUCGGUAAGCAUGGAAACAUGGCACUCUCCUGACUAGCCAAUCAGCAUUGAUCUUGUUCUUUGGUAAUCUGAGGGCA